UCCUACGGGAGGCAGCAGUGGGGAAUUUUGGACAAUGGGCGAAAGCCUGAUCCAGCAAUGCCGCGUGUGUGAAGAAGGCCUUCGGGUUGUAAAGCACUUUUGUCCGGAAAGAAAUCCUUGGCUUUAAUACAGUCGGGGGAUGACGGUACCGGAAGAAUAAGCACCGGCUAACUACGUGCCAGCAGCCGCGGUAAUACGUAGGGUGCGAGCGUUAAUCGGAAUUACUGGGCGUAAAGCGUGCGCAGGCGGUUUGCUAAGUCAGAUGUGAAAUCCCCGGGCUCAACCUGGGAACUGCAUUGGUGACUGGCAGGCUAGAGUAUGGCAGAGGGGGGUAGAAUUCCACGUGUAGCAGUGAAAUGCGUAGAGAUGUGGAGGAAUACCGAUGGCGAAGGCAGCCCCCUGGGCCAAUACUGACGCUCAUGCACG
rnacentral:rRNA from 1 species